rnacentral:rRNA from 1 species
GAUGAACGCUGGCGGCGUGCCUAAUACAUGCAAGUCGAGCGAACAGAUAAGGAGCUUGCUCCUUUGACGUUAGCGGCGGACGGGUGAGUAACACGUGGGUAACCUACCUAUAAGACUGGAAUAACUCCGGGAAACCGGAGCUAAUACCGGAUAACAUUUAGAACCGCAUGGUUCUAAAGUGAAAGAUGGUUUUGCUAUCACUUAUAGAUGGACCCGCGCCGUAUUAGCUAGUUGGUAAGGUAACGGCUUACCAAGGCAACGAUACGUAGCCGACCUGAGAGGGUGAUCGGCCACACUGGAACUGAGACACGGUCCAGACUCCUACGGGAGGCAGCAGUAGGGAAUCUUCCGCAAUGGGCGAAAGCCUGACGGAGCAACGCCGCGUGAGUGAUGAAGGUCUUCGGAUCGUAAAACUCUGUUAUUAGGGAAGAACAAAUGUGUAAGUAACUGUGCACGUCUUGACGGUACCUAAUCAGAAAGCCACGGCUAACUACGUG